AUCAGUUUUGCCAACAUUUCAUGGUGGAGUUAGGAAACACCUUCCGGAUACCUUGUUAAUCAUGAUCAGUAUUAUUGCCAAUUUUUCUAAUCAUAUAAAUGAUUACAAUUCAAAUUUCUCAGUUUACACACUCAGCUACUGUAUGAAGGCAAUGUUUUAACAAAUAUUUCUGGCUCUACUGAUAUCACGACAACGACGUUACAGCAUAAGUGACUUCCUGCGACGAUCGACAGUCGUGUGUAGUGACGUGAGAGGGAGCGAUGUUCUACUUGCUUGAAAACUGGAACAUAAUCGGGACGUGUGCAGCUCUGUGUUAGGAAGGAGUAACCGAAGACACUUGCCGGGCGCCAGUCAAUCACCACGAUGAGACGAAACGCUUCCAGCAUCUGAAACGAGCUACGGGCAGUUUUUCCAUCGCACCGGCUUAAAUGGAGCAGAGCCCAGGUGACAGAAUUAGGAUGAAGACAACGCGCAGUAACCAGGACUGUCUCCCCUUGGCGGUGUUAACAGGUGACCUUCUGGAAGCCUCCCUGGAGAUGUGUUUGCCCAAAUUGGAGGAGACCCCGGGGCAGACUCAGGACAUGCUGGAGAGAUUACAUCUCUUGGCUGUCUUGGGGACGACUUGGUAUUCCCCUGUGGAGCUGGAGGAGGUGACUGGGGAGAAGGAGGUCUGGGCAUCCCUGCUUAGACUGCUGCUUAUGUGACCCGACCCUGGAUAAGUAGCGGAGUUGGACCCAGUGAUUCCAUCCCAGACAACUGAGAAUGAGACCUGAAUGCCUUGCAUGUGAUUUAAUAAAAAUAUAUACAGAUU